GUGUCAGCAGCCGCGGUAAUACGUAGGUGACAAGCGUUAUCCGGAAUUACUGGGCGUAAAGCGCACGCAAGCGGUUGUACAAGUCCGACGUGAAAUCUCCUGGCUUAACCAGGAGCGGUCGUGGGAAACUGUAGAACUUGAGGCAAGCAGAGGGGUGCAGAAUUCCCGGUGUAGUGGUGGAAUGCGUAGAGAUCGGGAGGAAUACCAGUGGCGAAAGCGGUGCCCUGGGCUUGUCCUGACGCACAGGUGCGAAAGCGUGGGGAGCGAACGGGAUUAGAAACCCUCGUAGUCC
rnacentral:rRNA from 1 species